rnacentral:ncRNA from 1 species
UGGGCGCAGAGAAUAGGUCCAGGCAACUGUUUAACAAAAACACAGGGCUGUGCAAAAUCGAAAGAUGAAGUAUACAGCCUGACACCUGCCCGGUGCUGGAAGGUUAAGAGGAGAUGUCAUCGCAAGAGAAGCAUUGAAUUGAAGCCCCAGUAAACGGCGGCCGUAACUAUAACGGUCCUAAGGUAGCGAAAUUCCUUGUCGGGUAAGUUCCGACCUGCACGAAUGGUGUAACGAUCUGGACACUGUCUCAACCGCGAGCUCGGUGAAAUUGUAGUAUCGGUGAAGAUGCCGAUUACCCGCAACGGGACGAAAAGACCCCGUGAACCUUUACUAUAGCUUUACAUUGUAUUUGGGUAACAAAUGUGUAGGAUAGGCCGGAGACUAUGAGUCGGGUACGCCAGUAUUCGAGGAGUCACUGUUGAAAUACGGCCCUUUUGUUAUUUGGGUUCUAACUCUGUUUUCAGAGGACAUUGUAUGGUGGGUAGUUUGACUGGGGUGGUCGCCUCCAAAAGCGUAACGGAGGCUUCUAAAGGUACCCUCAGGCCGAUUGGUAACCGGUCGCAGAGUGUAAUGGCACAAGGGUGCUUGACUGGGAGACAAACAAGUCGCACAGGUAGGAAACUAGAGCAUAGUGAUCCGGUGGUUCCGU